rnacentral:rRNA from 1 species
GUGAGUAACACGUGGGUGACCUGCCUCGAAGACGGGGAUAACCACUGGAAACGGUGGCUAAUACCCGAUGGCCUCGAUAAUUCGGUUUAUCGAGUAAAGGCUCCGGCGCUUUGAGAGGGACCUGCGGCCCAUCAGCUAGUUGGUAGGGUAAUGGCCUACCAAGGCAAAGACGGGUAGGGGGCGUGAGAGCGUGACCCCCCACACUGGCACUGGGACACGGGCCAGACUCCUACGGGAGGCAGCAGUGAGGAAUAUUGCGCAAUGAGCGAAAGCUAGACGCAGCAACGCCGCGUGGGUGAUGAAGGCCUUCGGGUCGUAAAACCCUUUUCUGGGGGAAGAGUAAGGACGGUACCCCAGGAAUAAGCCUCGGCUAACUAUGUGCCAGCAGCCGCGGUAAUACAUAGGAGGCAAGCGUUAUCCGGAUUUACUGGGCGUAAAGAGCGUUGAGGCGGCUUCGUAAGUUGGACGUGAAAGCUCCCGGCUUAACUGGGAGAGGCCGUUCAAUACUGCGGGGCUUGAGGACAGCAGAGGGGGGUGGAAUUUCCGGUGUAGUGGUGAAAUGCGUAGAUAUCGGAAGGAACACCAGUGGCGAAGGCGGCCCCCUGGGCUGCUCCUGACGCUGAAGGCGAAAGCUAGGGUAGCGAACGGGAUUAGAAACCCCGGUAGUCCUAGCCGUAAACGAUGGAUACUAGGUGUAGGAGGUUAAAAUUCCUUCUGUGCCGGAGCUAACGCGUUAAGUAUCCCGCCUGGGGAGUACGGUCGCAAGGCUAAAACUCAAAGGAAUUGACGGGGGCCCGCACAAGCAGCGGAGCGUGUGGUUUAAUUCGAUGCAACGCGAAGAACCUUACCAGGGCUUGACAUGUAGGUAGUAGUGAAGCGAAAGCGGAACGAUCUUUCGGGAAGCCUACACAGGUGCUGCAUGGCUGUCGUCAGCUCGUGCCGUGAGGUGCUAGGUUAAGUCUUGUAACGAGCGCAACUCCUGCCGUUAGUUACAAGUGUCUAUCGGGACUGCCCGGCAAAACUGGGAGGAAGGUGGGGAUGAGGUCAAGUCAGCAUGGCCUUUAUGUCCUG